AUUGAACGCUGGUGGCAUGCCUUACCCAUGCAAGUCGAACGGCAGCACGGGGGCAACCCUGGUGGCGAGUGGCGAACGGGUGAGUAAUACAUCGGAACGUGCCCUGUAGUGGGGGAUAACUAGUCGAAAGAUUAGCUAAUACCGCAUACGACCUGAGGGUGAAAGCGGGGGACCGCAAGGCCUCGCGCUACAGGAGCGGCCGAUGUCUGAUUAGCUAGUUGGUGGGGUAAAAGCCUACCAAGGCGACGAUCAGUAGCUGGUCUGAGAGGACGAUCAGCCACACUGGGACUGAGACACGGCCCAGACUCCUACGGGAGGCAGC
rnacentral:rRNA from 1 species